rnacentral:rRNA from 1 species
UACGGGGGGGGCAAGCGUUGUUCGGAAUUACUGGGCGUAAAGGGCUCGUAGGCGGCCAACUAAGUCAGACGUGAAAUCCCCAGGCUCAACCUGGGAACUGCGUCUGAUACUGGAUGGCUUGAAUUCGGGAGAGGGAUGCAGAAUUCCAGGUGUAGCGGUGAAAUGCGUAGAUAUCUGGAGGAAUACCGGUGGCGAAGGCGGCAUCCUGGACCGACAUUGACGCUGAGGAGCGAAAGCUAGGGGAGCAAACGGGG